GAAAAAAAUGAAUAUAAUAUCAAAAUCUAGCAGAUUAAUGGAUAUUUCAACAGAUGAUUACAGUCAAGGACUUUACGUAUCGUUGACAUCGGCGACUCACAUAAAUUCGUAUUUUCCGACUAAAUAAUUGCAUUAAUGAAGGAAAAAAGAAAAGAAAAAAUUCAAGGGGGAUUCCGUUGAAUCAAGUAAGGUAAUGCCGCUGGCAUUUGAAUUGCACGACGAAAUUACAUAAUACAAUAACUGGAAGAAGAUCCAAGGAGAAAGUGUAUUAAGCAGUUGGCUACAAAGCCUAUGCGUUUCUGUGCUAAUUGAAUAUCGAUUAUCUGCAAUUCCGUUCAUCAACAUUAGAAAGAGAGCCAUCCACGACUUUACAACCUCCGCUGUCAUCUUUGAAAUAUUCUUCACGAUCGCAAGAUAUAUUGAAAGAUCAUUUUGUA